rnacentral:tRNA from 1 species
GUAGGCAUAAUUUUAACUAAAAUAUUAGAUUGUGAUUCUAAAAAUAAGAGUUAAACCCUCUUUGUCCACC